rnacentral:rRNA from 1 species
UACGUAGGGUGCAAGCGUUAAUCGGAAUUACUGGGCGUAAAGCGUGCGCAGGCGGUGAUGUGAAGACAGAUGUGAAAUCCCCGGGCUCAACCUGGGAAUUGCAUUUGAGACUGCGUAGCUAGGGUGCGGAAGAGGGAAGCGGAAUUUCCGGUGUAGCGGUGAAAUGCGUAGAUAUCGGAAGGAACACCAGUGGCGAAAGCGGCUUCCUGGUCCAGCACCGACGUUCAGGCACGAAAGCGUGGGGAGCAAACAGG